AGUGAACGCUGGCGGUAGGCCUAACACAUGCAAGUCGAACGGCAGCACAGAGGAGCUUGCUCCUUGAGUGGCGAGUGGCGGACGGGUGAGGAAUACAUCGGAAUCUACUCUGUCGUGGGGGAUAACGUAGGGAAACUUACGCUAAUACCGCAUACGACCUACGGGUGAAAGCAGGGGAUCUUCGGACCUUGCGCGAUUGAAUGCGCCGAUGUCGGAUUAGCUCGUUGGCGGGGGAAAGGCCCACCAAGGCGACGAUGCGUAGCUGGUCUGAGAGGAUGAUCAGCCACACUGGAACUGAGACACGGGCCAGCCUCCUACGGGAGGCAGCAGUGGGGAAUAUUGUACAAUGGGCGCAAGGCUGAUCCAGCCAUACGGCGUGGGUGAAGAAGGCCUUCGGGUUGUAAAGCCCUUUUGUUGGGAAAGAAAUCCAUCUGGUUAAUACCCGGGUGGGAUGACGUUACCCAAAGAAUAAGCACCGGCUAACUUCGUGCCAGCAGCCGCCGUAA
rnacentral:rRNA from 1 species